UCCCUGGUGGUCUAGUGGGCUAAGACUCUGCACCUGCAAUGCAGGAGACUUGGGUUUGAUCCCUGUUCAGGAAA
rnacentral:tRNA from 1 species